GAUGAACGCUGGCGGCGUGCCUAAUACAUGCAAGUCGAGCGAACGGACGAGAAGCUUGCUUCUCUGAUGUUAGCGGCGGACGGGUGAGUAACACGUGGAUAACCUACCUAUAAGACUGGGAUAACUUCGGGAAACCGUAGCUAAUACCGGAUAAUCUUUUGAACCGCGUGGUUCAAAAGUGAAAGACGGUCUUGCUGUCACUUAUAGAUGGAUCCGCGCUGCAUUAGCUAGUUGGUAGGGUAACGGCUUACCAAGGCAACGAUGCAUAGCCGACCUGAGAGGGUGAUCGGCCACACUGGAACUGAGACACGGUCCAGAGUCCUACGGGAGGCAGCAGUAGGGAAUCUUCCGCAAUGGGCGAAAGCCUGACGGAGCAACGCCGCGUGAGUGAUGAAGGUCUUCGGAUCGUAAAACUCUGUUAUUAGGGAAGAACAUAUGUGUAAGUAACUGUGCACAUCUUGACGGUACCUAAUCAGAAAGCCACGGCUAACUACGUG
rnacentral:rRNA from 1 species